rfam:Glycine soja cultivar W05 scaffold1029_48, whole genome shotgun sequence.
UUCUUAUUGGAUGAUGACUACCACGUGUCAUGUUCUGAUUGAUCAAUGAAAACAACAAUGUAUUUCAUCUUAUCUUUUAUGGAGUUGACCGUCAUCAUUCAAUAAGAACGUGAAACGUGACAGUGAACAUCA